CAUGGCCCUUAGGCCUGGGCGACACACGUGCUACAAUGCCCACUACAAAGCGAGGCCACCCGGCAACGGGAGCUAAUCGCAAAAAGGUGGGCCCAGUUCGGAUUGGGGUCUGCAACCCGACCCCAUGAAGCCGGAAUCGCUAGUAAUCGCGGAUCAGCCAUGCCGCGGUGAAUACGUUCCCGGGCCCUU
rnacentral:rRNA from 1 species